AAGCAGGAGGUGUCAGAAAAGUUAACACAGGGAUAAAUGGCUUGUGAUGGCCAAGUGUUCAUAGCGACAUCGCUUUUGGA
rnacentral:miRNA from 1 species